rnacentral:lncRNA from 1 species
CUUUCUUUUUAUAGCAGCAGUCGUAUCAUUAGAGCAAGGUUGUUUGCCUUGCCAGAAGAUUUCCUCACUCCCAUCAGCAGAGGCAGCUUUCUGACACGCAGCGGUUUCACCGAUCGUAUUUCAAGUGACCCUUGUAAUUGCUCCAUGCCGUAAUUGGUUUUCCUGCCACUCUCACGGCUCUGUGGUGACGCUUGUCCUGCCACUGCCUGCAGAGCUCAGUGCCAUGUGCCUUGUUGGGGACGUAGCCUUCCUCACUGUGUGAUGAAAGAUGGUGGAGACUUCAUCCAGCCCAGACUGUGCAGGAGGAGAGGAGCAAAUCAAAUGCAGGAGUGGCAGCAGAAGUUCCCGGAGAUGCUCUGAGCCUCUUGUUUUGUUUCUGAAGGAAGUUUAUUAAUAAUGAAGGGGAGAAAUUGAUCGGUGGAUCCACAGAAGGAGGAAAACGAGCAGGUAUGUUGCAAGAAUUCAGACAGGCAGACAGAUCUGUGCAGCUCGUGCGGGUAAAGCUUGCAUGUGGUAGGCUCAAGUGGUGCUGAAGCUCCCAUCAUCUUAGUUGUGUUUCUCUGAACCACAUGAAUAUUUCUGUCUGUUGGAAAAGAAGGGGAUUUCAUUUUUUACUCUACAACAGCUCUGUAGAAGCUC